AUUGAACGCUGGCGGCAUGCUUUACACAUGCAAGUCGAACGGCAGCGCGGGGGCAACCCUGGCGGCGAGUGGCGAACGGGUGAGUAAUGCAUCGGAACGUAUCCUGUAAUGGGGGAUAACGUAGCGAAAGUUACGCUAAUACCGCAUACGCUCGAGAGAGGAAAGUGGGGGAGUCGCAAGACCUCACGUUAUAGGAGCGGCCGAUGUCCGAUUAGCUAGUUGGUGGGGUAAAGGCCUACCAAGGCGACGAUCGGUAGCUGGUCUGAGAGGAUGAUCAGCCACACUGGGACUGAGACACGGCCCAGACUCCUACGGGAGGCAGCAGU
rnacentral:rRNA from 1 species